rnacentral:rRNA from 1 species
AGCAGCCGCGGUAAUUCCAGCUCCAAUAGCGUAUAUUAAAGUUGUUGCAGUUAAAAAGCUCGUAGUUGAAUUUCGGGAUCAAUUUAUCGGUCGUGCCAACGGUAUGAACUGGUACAAUUGGUUUCUCCCUUCUGAUGAAGCUCGAUGUCAUUAACUUGGUGUCGGGGGGAAUCAGGACUGUUACUUUGAAAAAAUUAGAGUGUUUAAAGCAGGCCUUGGCUUGAAUACAUUAGCAUGGAAUAAUGAAAUAGGACGUUUGAUCCUAUUUCGUUGGUUUCUAGGAUCGACGUAAUGAUUAAUAGGGAUAGUUGGGGGCAUUAGUAUUCAAUUGUCAGAGGUGAAAUUCUUGGAUUUAUUGAAGACUAACUACUGCGAAAGCAUUUGCCAAGGAUGUUUUCAUUAAUCAAGAACGAAAGUUAGGGGAUCGAAGACGAUCAGAUACCGUCGUAGUCUUAACCAUAAACUAUGCCGACUAGGGAUCGGAUGAUGUUAAUUUUUUAAUGACUCA